AGUGGGGAAUAUUGGACAAUGGGCGAAAGCCUGAUCCAGCCAUGCCGCGUGUGUGAAGAAGGCCUUCGGGUUGUAAAGCACUUUCAGUGGGGAGGAAAGGUUGAUGGUUAAUAGCCAUUAGCUGUGACGUUACCCACAGAAGAAGCACCGGCUAACUCCGUGCCAGCAGCCGCGGUAAUACGGAGGGUGCAAGCGUUAAUCGGAAUUACUGGGCGUAAAGCGUGCGCAGGCGGUCUGUUAAGCGAGAUGUGAAAGCCCCGGGCUCAACCUGGGAACUGCAUUUCGAACUGACAGACUAGAGUCUUGUAGAGGGGGGUAGAAUUCCAGGUGUAGCGGUGAAAUGCGUAGAGAUCUGGAGGAAUACCGGUGGCGAAGGCGGCCCCCUGGACAAAGACUGACGCUCAUGCACGAAAGCGUGGGGAGCAAA
rnacentral:rRNA from 2 species